ensembl:lncRNA
CUCCAGCCGGCGGGUGCCCGCGGCGCCAGCUUUUCCGGCUUCCAGUUGCCAGGGGGCGCUGCGACACAAUAGCCCGUGCCCGGAGGGGCGGCGGCCGCGUGAGCAGGGAGCCGCGCGCCGGGUAGUGGGGACCACCGGGUGGAGCCCGGGACAGCUGUGAGUCCGCUCGAGCGGCUUUCCUUCCUCCACCGCCUCCUCCUCUCGCUCUCCGCGGGCCUCACGGUGGGGCUGCCGCGGCGACGGCGACUGAAGUCCAGGCGCCGUUAUCUGUAGCCUCCUGGCGACCGUGACAAGCAGGCGCGUGAGUUUCCUGGGCACCAGGAGCCUUGGGAGGAGACACUUCACUCCUUUCCCGCAACCCAGAGAAGCAGGGACUUGGUCUCAGCCUUUCUCGCAGCUCUGAGAGGUGCUGUUACGUCCAGUUGCACCUCCCCACCGCCCUUGGAGAGGUGUGUUUUCCCCUGGAGUAGCCCAAGGGAGCGGGCCUAGCAGGUGGAGUUUCUGUCUUUGUAUCUUUUGGCUGUUCUGGCGGGACAUCAUUGCCCAAUAAGCGCUGACCGAGUUGCCAAAAGAAAAAGAAAAGGCAGCAUUUUCAAGGAUAUACCGUAAUAGGACAAUUCACCUGGUUAUGAAUAGGGCUUGAGAAUUGCAAGAAGCGAACUUGUUGCCUGACUAGUUUAUUGCUUAGAGUAGAGGCUUUAGGCCUACUUACGCUUGAAUCUGGCAGAGAGGCCACAGCUUAUCCAGAUUACACACUGGGAUCGCCCAACCCAAACACAUUGUACACCUGGAGACAUCUUCCAGUUUGACAGAGAGCUGCUGACUUGAAUGUUUCUGUCGGCACGGCCCCAAGCCCCAACCGACAAAAAUGCUUCCGAAACUUCAUUCACCGGAAUUCUUCUUAUCAGGUCUUGUAAUGGGCUAGUCCAGUUGGGGGAAAAAUGUUGAGAAACUAAAUAAUGUAAUAGAUCGAGGAAUUUUUUUUAGAGGCUUAUAAUUUGCAUACCAUAAAAUUCACUCAUUUUAAGUGUACAAUUAUUUUUAGUAAAUUGACAGAGUUGUGCAACCGUCACCACAAUCCAGUUUUAGAAUACUUCCAUCACCCUCCCCCCAAAUUCCCAUAAGCCUGUUUGCAGUUAAUCUCUCCUCCCACCUCUAGCCCUAACAACCACUUACCUGCUUUCUGUCUCUAUAUAGUUGCUUUUUCUGGACAGUUCAUAUGAAUGGAAUCAUACACUAUAUGGUCUUUUGUGUCUGGCUUCUUUCACUUAUCGUGAUGUUUUCCAGGUUCAUCCUUGUUUUAGCACACAUCAGUACUUCGUUUGUUUUUAUGGCCAGAUAAUAUUCCAUGGUGUGGAUAUACCACAUUUGUUUCUCUCUUUAUCAGUUGAUGGACAUUUGAGUUGUUUCCACUUUUUGGUUGGCAUGAGUAAGCUUAUUGUGAACAUUUGUGUGGACAUAUAUUUUCAAUUCUCUUGAUUUCACUGCCCUGUGCUGGUGCUCUCCUAGCACCCUUAGCAGAUCCCUAUCAUAACACUUAACAGACUGCACUGUAAGCUUGGAUUCAUUCUCUGUCUCUCCACUACAGAGAGCAAGGACCAUGUUUACUUGUUCUCUGGUAUAGGAGUGGAAUUUCUGGGUCGUAUGAUAACUGUAUGUUUAACAUUUUUAGGAACUUACAGGCUGUUUUCCGAAGUGGCUGCACCAUUUAAAAUUCCCAUCUGUAAGUGUAUGAAGGUUCCAAUUUCUCCACAUCCUCACCAACACUUAUUUUGUCUCUUUUUACUUGGUAUCUCAUUGUGACGUUAAUUUGCCUAGACUGAGUGGUAUUUGGUUAGCUAGUUUUAUUUCACUUUAAUGAAUACCUUUUUAAAUUUUAAAUUUUAAAUAUUUUAAUUUGGGGCUGAAAUGAAUAAUACAUGGCCCCUCUCUGCAAGGAGCUCAUGGCUCCUUCAGAGAGACAGACAAAUAGCUAACGACAGUACAGUGUGUCAAGUGCUCUGAUGGAGUUGAGCAUGGGAUGCUAUGAGGAGCAGAGUAGAGGGACGCCUAAUCUAGGGUGGGAGGAGGAUGGAGGAAAGUAUUAAAUAAGCCUUUUCCAGAAGGGGCUUUAGUGUGCCUCUGGUUUUCUUUCAUGUACUUUCCUCAAAACUAUACAUGCACGUAGUAUUACGGAUAGUUCUAUGUGGCUUUCUAUUCUAAAAAAAAGGAGUCCCCGGCUUUCCUUGCCAUCCCUGCUCCCCCAAAAGCAGUCACUUUCUAUUCUUUUCUCUCUUUGGAUAUUUCCCUCUAUGUCUUUAAAUAGCAUAGCGUGUUUUUAUUUGAGAAAGAAGAAUAAUCAGCCCUGAUACAGGCCCCUCAUCAUCCUCACUUGCACUGAUUUCUAAAUUGGUCAGCCCCAUUAGAUAUUAACACGUGAUUAGUUAUGAAAGCCACGGUCACAAUGCAAGCUACCUUCUUGCAAUUUAAAUGAAAGAAGACAGGCAUUACCAACUGUUAGGUACUGGAGUAACUGAAGUAAGACAAGAUCAACAUUUUAAAGGAGUAGCUAAGGAGUUUUUUUCCUCAUUGGUACUUUAGUACCAUGUAACUGCAAUAAGCCAGAACCCAUUGCACCUGUCAAUUAAGAGGAACGUUAUUUUCACUCAAGCUUUUGAAGAAAAAGCCAAAUCAGAGACAAGCAGCAUGAUACAGGACAGAGGUCGGCAAAUUCUGACCCGUGAGUUAAGAAUGUUUUUUCAGAUGAACAUUUUCAAUCAGUUUGAUGAUAGGGAACACUAACUUUCAACCCCAAUUAAAGAAAAUGUUAUUCUUCUAUUCUGUUUUCUCAUUAGUAGACCUGUAUUACAAAACCUUGUAGUCAAUUAUUAUAUUUUGGAUUUCAUCUAUAAAAAAUUAUGGAAAUUUAUUUUCUCUUGUUAUAUAAGUACCUACAUAAUAUCCCUGAUUUGCGUCUUGGCCCAUAAAGCCUAAAAUAUUUACUAUCUGACCUUCACAGAAAAAGUUUUCCUACUCUUGGUUUAGUAGAAUAAACAGAGGUAUGGAAAGCAAUUGCCACAUACUUGCUGUGUAUCCUUGGGAAAUUACUUCACUUCUCUGGUCUUGAUUUUCAUUAUCUAUAAAAUGGAGAUUGAGGGUGAUAUGUGGAUGAGAUAAACUCUAUGGUGAACCCCCCACAUCCUCUUAAGUUUUUGAUUAAUUAGUUAAUUAUACAAAUAUUUACUGAGCUACUACUAUGUACCAAGAGCUGUUCAAGGCUUGGGGAUACAGCAGCAAACAAAAUUCCUGUCCUGAGAAAGAUACUAUUCUAAAUGAAAAGAGAUUAAAGAUGCAAUGAGUGGUCUGAGAUUGAAUCCUGACUUGAACAAACUAGCUUUAUACGACAUUUUGGGGGAAACUAGGGAAAUUUGAAUAUGGAUGGGUGUUAGAUGAGAUGGAAACAUUAACAUGCAAUGGCGGAGGUCAUUAACUGAAAACAGCGGUUACAAAGCAUUAUGUACAUAUAUUAUCUCAUUUUGGUAGAAAAUGUAUCUAUGUGUCAUAUAUACCGAGGAAAAGAUCUAGAAGGAUAUAUACUAAGCUGUUAACAGUGGUAAUUUCUGGGCAGUGGGAAAAUAAUGUUUUUAUUUACUUAUUUUUGUUUUCUAAUUUUUUACAAUGAACAUAUACUGCUUUUGUAAAAAUAAAAGGUUCUAAUUUAAAAAAAUAAUCUCUCUUUUCAUGGAGCUUACAUGCUACUGCCUCUUGUAAAUAUUAAUAUUGACAAUCUGUCACUUUUUCUGGGGGACACAUGGAAGAAUGUAGAGUGCCCCGCCUCCUGCAGGUAACAAAGGAUCAGGGCGUUCUCUGUGAAAUAACUGCAGAAUAUGAACUGAUGCUGCUGGCAUUUCCCUUGGAGUUUUACUGGUGAGUAGAGCUUUCUUAUCCCCAAGGCUUUAGAAUGGGGUGGACUUUUGUAGAGUGGUCAGUAUUAAAAGGGAGGGACUAGAGAGGCAAACGUUGGAGUGUCCAUCUAAGCACUGUUCAGGAGAGAAUAUACCCAAUCUGAUACGGAGGUAGAUUUAUCUCUGUAGCAUUGAUGGAUACAUCAGGCUGUGAAAGCCUGAUGCGAUUAAGCAUCUGAAGCAUGUAACUACUUUUGUUCUUCUAGGCCAGGAGUCUGCAAAGUAUGGCCUAGGAAUGAAAUCUGGCCUGCCAUCUAUUUUAAAGUCUUAUUGUAAAUAAAGUCUUACUGGAACACAGCCACACUCAUUUCUUUAUGUAUUGUCUAUCACUGCUUUUGCCCAACAGCGGCAGAGUUGAGUAGUUGUGACAGAGGCCAUAUAUUACCCACAAACCCCAAAAUACUUACUAUUUGGCCCUCUAAAUAAAAAGUUUGUGGAUCCUUGUUCUAGGCCCACCACAAAACUGUCUCAGGAGGCACACCUGUGGGGAGGGAAUGCCCACUCUACAGUUAAAUGAACAUUCUGAUUUAUAAACUGCAUUCUCUCCUGAGCUUUAUUAGCAGCUGUCAGUAUUCCGAAUUCCGGAUGACUCGGUUACUUACAAGAUUGGAUUUCUUAUCCUGCAAAGCUGAGGUGAAGGCCAGACCCUAGAAAAACAGAAAAUUCAUCAAGGCUCAGUUCAAGAACCACCCCCUCCAAGUUGUCUUCCUGGAUUUAUUCAGCCCAAAGUUAUCCUUGUCUUUCCUGGGACAUGUCAGCAUUCUGGACAGAAGAAACCAACAAGCAAUGGAGAGGCCACAUCAAGCAGCUAGAAUCUCUGCAGCCCAGUGUUCUGUUUGAUGGGCUUCUAGGGGCUGUUCAAAGGGAGAUACCAGCAGCCUGGAAAUUCCAAAUGGAAGGCAAUGAUCAUGGGCAGUUGAUGCCUUCUCCAGGGUGGUGACAGUGGUGUUUUUGCCAGAGCAGCACCAACGGAUCCCUCAAGACUUUGUUAUGGAUUUUGUCUCUGGGAACACAGACUCUGCUUUUCAAGAUGAUUCUCUCUCUACCAUUGUAUUGGUUCCUCCUCCUGGGCUCAGCAGCCUGGAAAUAGAAACAGCAGUGGUGGCUGAUUGUCUUGAUCCAGACGGAAGUUGUGUGGCAGAUUGCAUCAUUCACUGCUUUGCCUUCUUGGAUGACUCAGAACAUAAUAUAACCUUGUUUUGUGACUCAGAGAGGCCAUUAUGACCAUCUGCUUUUGCCUUGGACCUCUGAGGAAUAUUGUUGCUGAGCUAACAUCUGUGCCAAUCUUCCUAUAUUUUGCAUGUGGGAUGCCGCCGCAGCAUGGUUUGAUGGGCAGUGUGUAGGUCCGUGCCCGGAAUCUGAAGCCACGAACGCCAGGCUGCCAAAGCGGAGCACUCAAACUUAACCAUUAUGCCACCGGGCCAGCCCCUAUACAAAAUAUUUUUACAUUGGAUUUGGGUCUCCUUAGAGAAUGGCUAAAAGAGAG